UGGGGAAUAUUGCACAAUGGGGGGAAACCCUGAUGCAGCGACGCCGCGUGGAGGAAGAAGGUCUUCGGAUUGUAAACUCCUGUUGUUGGGGAAGAUAAUGACGGUACCCUUGGAGGAAGCCCCGGCUAACUACGUGCCAGCAGCCGCGGUAAUACGUAGGGGCAAGCGUUAUCCGGAAUUAUUGGGCGUAAAGAGUGCGUAGGUGGUUACCUAAGCAGGGGGUGAAAGGCUAUGGCUUAACCAUAGUUAGCCCCCUGAACUGGGCUACUUGAGUGCAGGAGAGGAAAGCGGAAUUCCUAGUGUA
rnacentral:rRNA from 1 species